rnacentral:misc_RNA from 1 species
AAUCUACUUGGGGAUUUUGAGUAUGAAGUGCAAGCUCCUUAUUUGUUGUACCGGAAUGCUGCUCAAGAAGUUAAUGGCAUUUGGUUUUACAAUCCACGGGAAUGUGAGGAUGUUGCAAACCUCUUCAGCAGGAUACUUAAUGCAUUCUCGAAGGUUCCUUUAAAGUCCAAAGUUUCUUCAAGCAAGGGUGAUUUUGAGGAGCUGGAGGCAGUGCCAACAAUGUCAGUGAUUGAAGGUCCAUUGGAGCCUUCAGCACCGCCCUCUACUGUCACUGAUCCUCCUGAAGAUCCAUCCUUUGUGAACUUCUUUAGUGCGGCUAUGAAUAUUGGAAGCAAUGCUCCAAAUAUACCGGAUUCAAGGCAGCCAUACCAUGCUACUGCUAUGAACCCUCCAUCUUUGCUUGCUCCUAAUGUUGUAUCAGCUCCUGCACUGGCUCCACAGCCAUCGUUUCCCAUUGCAGCUUCAUCUACGCUAACCUCUCCUUAUGGACCACCUGACCCAAACAAUGGCGCUAAUCAGGUCACUAAUCUUGUGAAGCCCUCUUCUUUCUUUCCACCACCAUCUUUCUCAUCUGCACCAAUGAGGCCCUCUUUGCCCUCAUCCAUGCCAAUGCCUACACUUCAUCCUCCACUUAAUUUACAAAGCCCAUA